rnacentral:rRNA from 1 species
AUUGAACGCUGGCGGCAUGCCUUACACAUGCAAGUCGAACGGUAACAGGUCUUCGGAUGCUGACGAGUGGCGAACGGGUGAGUAAUGCAUCGGAACGUGCCCAGUAGUGGGGGAUAGCCCGGCGAAAGCCGGAUUAAUACCGCAUACGACCUGAGGGUGAAAGGGGGGGAUCGCAAGACCUCUCGCUAUUGGAGCGGCCGAUGUCAGAUUAGCUAGUUGGUGGGGUAAAGGCCUACCAAGGCAACGAUCUGUAGUUGGUCUGAGAGGACGACCGGCCACACUGGGACUGGGAAACGGCCCAGACUCCUACGGGAGGCAGAAGUGGGGAAUUUUGGACAAUGGGCGCAAGCCUGAUCCAGCAAUGCCGCGUGCAGGAAGAAGGCCUUCGGGUUGUAAACUGCUUUUGUCAGGGAAGAAAUCUUCUGGGUUAAUACCUCGGGAGGAUGACGGUGCCUGAAGAAUAAGCACCGGCUAACUACGUGCCAGCCGCCGCAGUAA